rnacentral:misc_RNA from 1 species
UGGUGAUAUACCUCAUGCAGGUAUAGGUAAUGCUCGCAGAAUGCAAGUGCCCAAUUCAGAUAUGCAACAUAAGGUAUUAAUAGAAGCAGUUGAAAAUCACAUGCCUCAAGUGAUAAUCAUAGAUGAAAUUGGGACAAAACUUGAAGCAAUGGCUGCAAGUACAAUUGCACAACGUGGGAUUCAAUUAGUAGCCACUGCUCAUGGAGUUACG